UACGGGGGGGGUAAGCGUUGUUCGGAAUUAUUGGGCGUAAAGGGCUCGUAGGCGGUCUGUCGCGUCGGGAGUGAAAACUCAGGGCUUAACCCUGAGCCUGCUUCCGAUACGGGCAGACUAGAGGUAUGCAGGGGAGAACGGAAUUCCUGGUGUAGCGGUGAAAUGCGUAGAUAUCUGGAGGAACACCGAUGGCGAAGGCAGCCCCCUGGGCUAACACUGACGCUCAUGCACGAAAGCGUGGGAAGCAAACAGG
rnacentral:rRNA from 1 species